rnacentral:rRNA from 1 species
ACGGCGAGUGAACCGGGAAGAGCUCAAAUUUGAAAUCUGGCGUCCUCAGGGCGUCCGAGUUGUAAUCUAUAGAGGCGUUUUCCGUGCCGGACCGUGUCCAAGUUCCUUGGAACAGGAUAUCAAAGAGGGUGACAAUCCCGUACUUGACACGAUGACCGGUGCUCUGUGAUACGUCUUCUACGAGUCGAGUUGUUUGGGAAUGCAGCUCAAAAUGGGUGGUGAGUUCCAUCUAAAGCUAAAUAUUGGCGAGAGACCGAUAGCGAACAAGUACCGUGAGGGAAAGAUGAAAAGCACUUUGGAAAGAGAGUUAAACAGUACGUGAAAUUGUUGAAAGGGAAACGAUUGAAGUCAGUCGUGACUGAGAGGCUCAGCCGGUUCUGCCGGUGUAUUCCCCUCAGUCGGGUCAACAUCAGUUUUGUCCGGUGGAAAAGGGCGGUAGGAACGUGGCACCUCCGGGUGUGUUAUAGCCUGCCGUCGCAUACAUCGGGUGAGACUGAGGAAUGCAGCUCGCCUUUAUGGCCGGGGUUCGCCCACGUCCGAGCUUAGGAUGUUGACAUAAUGGCUUUAAACGACCCGUCUUGAACCACC